rnacentral:rRNA from 1 species
UAGGGAAUCUUCGGCAAUGGACGAAAGUCUGACCGAGCAACGCCGCGUGAGUGAAGAAGGCUUUCGGAUCGUAAAACUCUGUUGUUAGAGAAGAACAAGGACGUUAGUAACUGAACGUCCCCUGACGGUAUCUAACCAGAAAGCCACGGCUAACUACGUGCCAGCAGCCGCGGUAAUACGUAGGUGGCAAGCGUUGUCCGGAUUUAUUGGGCGUAAAGCGAGCGCAGGCGGUUUCUUAAGUCUGAUGUGAAAGCCCCCGGCUCAACCGGGGAGGGUCAUUGGAAACUGGGGGACUUGAGUGCAGAAGAGGAGAGUGGAAUUCCAUGUGUAGCGGUGAAAUGCGUAGAUAUAUGGAGGAACACCAGUGGCGAAGGCGGCUCUCUGGUCUGUAACUGACGCUGAGGCUCGAAAGCGAGGGGAGCAAACAGG